GAAUCAGAGCUGUAGCUGCUGGCCUAUGCCACAGCCACAGCAAUGCCAAAUCUGAGCCGUGUCUGUGAUCUACGCCACAGCUCACGGCAAGGCUGGAUCCUUAACCCACUGAGCAAGGCCAGGGAUCGAACCCACAUCCUCAUGGAUACUAGUCAGGCUUGUUGCCACUGAGCCACAAUGAAACUUCUUAAUAAUAUAUAAUAUAUAGACUUAAUAGUUGCACUCUCAAAUUUGCCACACCAUUAAAUUCUAUUUCAUUUUGAGUUUUCAUUGAUCUUAAAUAUUUAGGUAGAUAUCCUACUUAUUUAACGGAAAUAAUUCACGUGACCCAAAAGUUUUCAAAGACCAAGUUAUACUUAAUAUACUUUGUCUCUUCACUUCCCCAAUGCUCCACAGAAUUCAUUCCUGCCUACAGAUGUGUUAUCAGCUGGGAAAUGUUUAUGUACAUUGUUCAGCUCAAAGGGUACUAAACUUCUAGAACUCUAAAGUGUAAUGGGCAGAAAUUCCAAGAGGUAGUUCAGGCAGAAACUCUACAGAUGGGCAAACAUGUUAAUGAUAACAUGACAAAUGGCUGUCAAGGAAGAGUUCACUGUGCAUGGCUCUCUCAAUCAACCAUCAGAAAACAGAGCCAGAUCCUCUGCCAAUAUUUUCCUUCAGGCCCCUGCUGGCAAGAGAAUCCUGGCCUGGUUGACAGGAGGCUUGAAUCUUAGAAGUCCUAUGGAUCCUAUAGGAUUGUGGGACCUCUAUGCUCAAUCUUCCCCAAAGUUUUAAUUUUUUUUUUUGAAAACCAGAAUCCAACUCUGCUAUUUAAGCAAUAUGUGUUCUAUACUUUAGCAGAAACAGAAUGUAAAUGUGCUCAAUCUAUUAACUAUCCAGGCCAUAGAAGGCCAUCUGCACUGGGCACAGGCGAAGUCACCAGGGAAGAAGUCCGGUGUCACAGAGAAGAGGAAUCCCACGACAAACUAUGAGGUCAAUGAAACAUUCUAAUAUUCCCCAUCAGCGCUCCCUCUUCUGUCUCAAGAUGGCCCCUCCUUAAAAUAGUUGACUGCUCACCUUUUUCCAGGUACCUGUUGAAGGCUUCAUUCUUGCUGUCACCUGGCAGGACCUGCACUCUGAUGGUGUUUGCCCACAGUAAUGAUUAACUAGAACAAUUGAGAAUACCUCCAUAUGCCCUCUCUGCUGUACGUGUACUGAGAUGAGGACCUGUUGACAGGCGGACGUGUGGAUUCCAACACACGCUGUCCCCCCCGGUGGCUGGGCCACCUGCAGAAAUUCCUGCCGACGUGAGGAAUUCCUGGGGAGCGUCAGAAAUCACCUGGAGGGCUGGUUAAAACACAGGUUGCUGGGCCCAACCCCAGAGCUUUUGAUGCAGAUCUGAGGCAGAACCUGAUAAUCUGCAUUUCUAACCAUUUGCUCACCUGGACACCCCACUUGGGGAGCCACGGAGGCUCUGUCUUUCCCUCUCUGUUUCUCCAGGAUUCUAGCAUAAUGACCUCAUUCAACUCAGUCUUUCAGUGCCCACUACCCGGGCCAUUGCUCCCAAAACGAUGGAUGCAAGGUACAGACAGCUCUACAGGAUGCCAAGGACUUUACCUCUCCUGGUGGGCUUUUCCCGGCUGCUCAACACUGCCCAAGUCUCCCGAGGCCCCAGUGUUUACUCCAUGCCAAGCACUGUCCUUAACACUUUGCAUACAAUCUUCCCUUUAACGUAGGCAGGGGCAUUCUAGACUUUGCAGGGAUGGGAGUGAUGGUGUUGCCAGAGAUACAAACCUCAAAUCCAGUCUAGUUUUCACUGCAAGAAUCUUUUUUCUCAUGGGCAAGAUCCUCUGAGUGGAAGAGAUUCCUGCUCCACAUGAGGUUAACCUGAGAUGUGGCCACUUCUCAAGUCUGAAGAGGCCGUGCCCGGGUGCCAGCCAUUCAGUAAAGCAGCUCUGCCGGGGCACCAGGAAUGUCAAGAGGCACAGGGCUUGAAACUGACACUGGCCUGAAGGCAGAAAGAAUGGACCCGCUCCUUGUGAGCCAUGCCCUGUGGGAUGGGCUCCACUGUGUCCCCUCAAAAUUAUAGCAACUCCUGACCCCGGAGCCUCAGACAGUGACCUUAUUGGAAAAAAAGGGCCUUUAUAGAGGCAGUUAAGUUCACAUGAGUUCAUUAGGUUGGACCCUAAUCCUGCAGGACUGUGUUCUCCUCAGAGAGGGACUUUGCACAGAUAAACAUGUACACAGGAGUGAAGACCCCCAGGGAGGAGGUGGCCCCAAGCCUGGAGGGACACCAGUGACUGCCUCCAACACCAGAGAAGAAUAAGAAGGUUUGCCCAAGAGCCCAAGAAGGCCUGGCUCCAACCAACACCUUGAUUUCAGAUUUGUAGCCUCAAGAACUGUGAUUCAAUACAUUUCUGUGCUUUGAGCACCCAGUUUGUGGUGCUUCGUGAUGGCAGCUUUAAGAAACAAGCCACCCUUUAUUGGAAACCCUUGAGGCCAGAUGGGUUAAGAACGCUGACUUUUUUUUCCCCAUUUUAGAUGGUCCUGACUCUCCCAAUUACUGUGUAUCAUUCCCAGGAGGGGCCUGAGGCAGGACCCACCACCCACAGGCACAAAUGCUUACAUUAAGUGUUCUACAUAAAACCAGAAAUGCUCUCAAGUCCAUUCAGCUCAGAUGUUGCCACCCAAUGAGCUUUCUGCAAACCUACAGAAAUGUUUUGUUGCCAAGGCUUUGUGGAUUUCUGAACUGCAUGAGAUUAGAGACCUGUGCCGAGUCACAGAACAAUACUUGAAAUCUGUUUACUACUGAUGUGCCCCCUGCCCGCCACACUCAGAUUGCUCUCCAAAGUACAAAGAACCACCCAUGAAAUCCUAGAAUUGCUCUGGGAAACAAAAACAUCCCCUCAGCUCUUAAAUAACUGGGCAAAUAUUUAACGUUUUUUCUUUAAGGCCAUGAAACGCAUGAGCAAGCCACCAGGCCCUUGACGUUUCCAUUAUGGUGAGCUCUGUAGUACAUCACUGCGAGGCUUUUUUAAACAGAAUUUUAAAAGAGAGGCAAAAAACAAUUGUUUCACAGCAUUAUGACACGAAGAAAAAACUGUAAUCACUAUCAAGAGGACUAGGUGAGGACAGAGCCUCACCCCCAUGGUAGGAAGAUGGGUGUAGUGGAAAACAUAUUUUUCCCAGUUAUGAAGGUACAGAAUUCACACUUGGAUCUCCAGGACCUGUAUGUUGUCAAGAAGGGAGUUGUUUACAGAAGAAAUGAAGCCUCCAUCAGCACUAAAAAUCUUGAUUGGCCUCCUCACCCGUGUGAACACCUGCAUCCCUUACCACAUCUUCAAAAUUGGAUGCAUACAUAAGUUUCCUUGCGUUCAGAUUAUUUUAUUUAUUUUUUUGCUUUUUAGGGCCGCACCCACGGCAUAUGGAGAGGUUUCCAGGCUAGGGGUCAAAUCGGAGCUGUAGCUGCCGGCCUACACCACAGCCACAGCAACGCCAGAUCCUUAACCCACUGAGCGAGGCCAGGGAUCAAACCCACAUCCUCAUGGAACCUAGUCGGGAUUGUUAACGGCUGAGCCACAAAGGGAACACUCAUGUUCAGAUAAUUUUAAAUCCUCCCUUAAGUCACCAGGUUGGGAGAGCCUGGAUAUGGAAGGACUUCUAAAGAGAGCCUAGGGUAGGUUCUACAAUUAUGGAAGGUGUUGUUGCACCCCCACCCCCCACCCCAUGUAAGGGUGUUACAGUUUGUGCUACUGGAUGACUUUGUGGUAGGGCCGUAGGUGUUUCCCCAUGUCCCUGGGACCCUAAAGAAGGAAGUGCUAAAUAAUCAGGGAGUAAAAGCACACAGGGCAGAUUAAGACAAUUUACAGAGCAUAAAAUGCACCUUUCCCAUAAAAACUACGGAGGUCAGACUUCCAGUAUAUUUAAGUACAACGAGAUCCUUGUUUUACUUUUGCCCUCUGCUAAGAAUUUCUAUUAGGCAAUAAGUGCAGAAUCCAAUUAACUCCCCUUGUCAGUAUUAGCCAUACCUGUUUGAUUCCCCCACCUAUGGCAAAUUACCAUCUCCAGAGUUUUCAGCCUGCUUAGCCCCAGUGUGUACUAGCUUAGCGGUGAUCCUUGAUGUUUUCUCCCCUUCCUCCUGGGGAAAUCCUUGCUCCUUCCAGGUUCCAGGCAGCCAGCACCUCCUCUUCAUCUUCCCAGAACAACCCAUCCCAUAAUAACCAGCCUCUCUGUGCACUGCAUUCCUGCAGUUGUGAUUGCUUAGGUCACGCCUCAGCCACUGCGUCACGUG
rnacentral:lncRNA from 1 species